rnacentral:lncRNA from 1 species
UGCCAGGUCUGGCAGGACAGGCUGCCUUCUCCUAGAGAGACAAAGCUCCUCUCCAGGCCCAUGUUGCCUGCUCAGGUCCAUUCUCCGCUCACCCCUGGGCCACCCAGAGGUCACUUAUGAGCAGGUGUGGUCACAGGCAGGCACUGAGCUUGGGGCAAACACUGGCCCUCACGCCCCGCAGAGCCCACAGCAACCACCUCCCGGUCCCCAUCCUGCUCCACGCACCACCUCCCCAACAAGCUGCCACACCAAGCCCCAUGACGGAGUGAGGCCUCAGGGUGCACAGCAGGGCUGGGGCUCCCAGAGGCCUUCUCCAAAGAGGCGCAUGGAUCUGAGGAGAGAUUGGCUUGCCUAGAUGGGCCACCCACC